rnacentral:rRNA from 1 species
GAAGGAUCAUUGUUGUGAUACAUAUUUUUGGAUUUANAGAGAUAUUAAUAAAUCGUAUGCUUCGAAGACAUGCGUCGUGUUCAUGCUUUAUGCAUUGCAUUGGGGCGUGUUGACCAUAAGAAUCAGACACGGUAUGUGUCAAGGUAAAUUUUUUCGGAAUAAGAAUGAAUGAGACUUGACGCAGGAUGCUCGUUGUGCGGGACAUUGUUCCGUUCGAUCUCUACAUUUAUUGAAAUCGUGAUAUUUGAAGACUCUCGGCAAUGGAUAUCUUGGCUCUUGCAUCGAUGAAGGACGUAGCAAAAUGCGAUACAUGGUGUGAAUUGCACGAUCCCGGGAACCAUCGAGUCUUUGAACGCAAGUGGCGCCCGAGGCCGCAUGGCCAAGGGCACGUUUGCCUGGGUGUCACAAGAACACGUUGUCGCUCUAGUUUAUGUUGAUGUAGUAUGUCUAGAUGCGUUUGUUGUGGCCUUCCUCGCGCAUUGUAAUGAAUGUGGAUGGCCGAAGGAUUGUUUGCAUCGCUCGGUGUACGGACGGACGUCCAAUUGAUGCGGCCAUGUGGUGAAAGUGAGUACUUACUCCAGUCCGGGCUGCCGUGUCGGAAUGUUGUUCUUCUCGGGGUGAUGUGAAAGAACCUGCUUGGACAUGUAAUGGCAUGAAAUGCCUCGGUUGUGCGACCCCAGGUCAAGCGUGGCCACCCGCUGAACUUAAGCAUAUC